GAUGAACGCUAGCGGCAGGCCUAAUACAUGCAAGUCGAACGGUUCAUGGUUUUCGGAUCAUGGAUAGUGGCGCACGGGUGCGUAACGCGUACACAACAUACCCUUUACUGGGGGAUAGCGGUGGGAAACUGCCAGUAAUACCCCAUGUCCUCGUGAGGUGGCAUUAUUUUGUCGAGGAAAGUUACGGCGGUAAAGGAUUGGUGUGCGUCCGAUUAGCUAGUUGGCGGGGUAACGGCCCACCAAGGCGACGAUCGGUAGGGGGUNUGAGAGCAUGGCCCCCCCANACGGGUACUGAGACACGGACCCGACUCCUACGGGAGGCAGCAGUAAGGAAUAUUGGACAAUGGUCGGAAGACUGAUCCAGCCAUGCCGCGUGAAGGAAGAAGGCGCUCAGCGUUGUAAACUUCUUUUGGAUGGGAAUAAUAACCUCGACGUGUCGGGGCUUNAAGGUACCAUCAGAAUAAGNACCCGGCUAACUCCGUGCCAGCAGCCG
rnacentral:rRNA from 1 species